rnacentral:rRNA from 1 species
UCUGACGGAGCUCGCCGCGUGAGUGAUGAAGGUUUUCGGAUCGUAUAGCUCUGUUGUUAGUCAAGAACAAGUGCAAGAGUAACUGCUCUGCCUCCACGGUGCCUAACCAGAAAGCCACGGCUAACUACGUGCCAGCAGCCGCGGUAAUACGUAGGUGGCAAGCGUUGUCCGGAAUUAUUGGGCGUAAAGGGCUCGCAGGCGGUUUCUUAAGUCUGAUGUGAAAGCCCCCGGCUCAACCGGGGAGGGUCAUUGGAAACUGGGAAACUUGAGUGCAGAAGAGGAGAGUGGAAUUCCACGUGUAGCGGUGAAAUGCGUAGAGAUGUGGAGGAACACCAGUGGCGAAGGCGACUCUCUGGUCUGUAACUGACGCUGAGGAGCGAAAGCGUGGGGAGCGAACAGGAUUAGAUACCCUGGUAGUCCACGCCGUAAACGAUGAGUGCUAAGUGUUAGGGGGUUUCCGCCCCUUAGUGCUGCAGCUAACGCAUUAAGCACUCCGCCUGGGGAGUACGGUCGCAAGACUGAAACUCAAAGGAAUUUUGACGGA